CGUUCACGUCGUUGAGAGCAGUUCAGUGUAUUCGUGCCGACGAAUACAUUAGCAUGGGAUAAUGGAAUAGGACCCUGUCCUCCUAUCUUCAGUUGGUUAACUUGUAGAGGAUCAGGGUAAUGAUUAAUAGGGAUAGUUGGGGGCAUUAAUAUUUAAUUGUCAGAGGUGAAAUUCUUGGAUUUAUGAAAGAUUAACUUCUGCGAAAGCAUCUGCCAAGGAUGUUUUCAUUAAUCAAGAACGAAAGUUAGGGGAUCGAAGACGAUCAGAUACCGUCGUAGUCUUAACCAUAAACGAUGCCGACCAGCGAUUAGGAGACGUUGAAUACAAAACACCACCAUGCAUAAUUCAGUAUAUGGCCAGUCAAAUGGUUGUAUAUUGUUUGUGUAUGGCACCGGUGAAUGACUCCCUAGCAGCUUGUGAGAA
rnacentral:rRNA from 1 species